AUUGAACGCUGGCGGCAGGCCUAACACAUGCAAGUCGAACGAGUGGCGGACGGGUGAGUAAUGUCUGGGAAACUGCCUGCUGGAGGGGGAUAACUACUGGAAACGGUAGCUAAUACCGCAUACCAUCAGAUGUUCCCAGAUGGGUUUAGCUAGUUGGUGGGGUAACGGCUCACCAAGGGGACGAUCCCUAGCUGGUCUGAGAGGAUGACCAGCCAAACUGGAAUGGAGACACGGUCCAGACUCCUACGGGAGGCAGCAGUGGGAAAUAUUGGACAAUGGGCGCAAGCCGGAUGCAGCAAGGCCGCGUGGAUGAAGAAGGCCUUCGGGUUGUAAAGUACGUUCAGCGGGGAGGCGUUACCCGCAGAAGAAGCACCGGCUAACUCCGUGCCAGCAGCCGCGGUAAUAC
rnacentral:rRNA from 1 species